rnacentral:rRNA from 1 species
AUACGGAGGAUCCGAGCGUUAUCCGGAUUUAUUGGGCUUAAAGGGUGCGCAGGCGGGAGAUUAAGUCGGCGGUGAAAUUUUGCAGCUCAACUGUAAAAGUGCCUUCGAAACUGGUUUCCUUGAGUGUAGAUGAAGUCGGCGGAAUUUGUGGUGUAGCGGUGAAAUGCAUAGAUAUCACGAGGAACUCCGAUUGCGCAGGCAGCUUACUAAACUACUACUGACGCUCAGGCACGAAUGCGUGGGGAUCAAACAGGAUUAGAUACCCUGGUAGUCCACGCAGUAAACGAUGAUUACUAGCUGUUGGCGACACAAUGUGAGCGGCUGAGCGAAAGCGUUAAGUAAUCCGCCUGGGGAGUACGUUCGCAAGAAUGAAACUCAAAGGAAUUGACGGGG